GACGAACGCUGGCGGCGUGCUUAACACAUGCCAGUCGAACGGAAAGACCCUGCUUUUGUGGGGUGCUCGAGUGGCGAACGGGUGAGUAACACGUGAGUAACCUGCCCUUGACUUUGGGAUAACUUCAGGAAACUGGGGCUAAUACCGGAUAGGAGCUCCUGCUGCAUGGUGGGGGUUGGAAAGUUUCGGCGGUUGGGGAUGGACUCGCGGCUUAUCAGCUUGUUGGUGGGGUAGUGGCUUACCAAGGCUUUGACGGGUAGCCGGCCUGCGAGGGUGACCGGCCACAUUGGGACUGAGAUACGGCCCAGACUCCUACGGGAGGCAGCAGUGGGGAAUAUUGCACAAUGGGCGGAAGCCUGAUGCAGCAACGCCGCGUGCGGGAUGACGGCCUUCGGGUUGUAAACCGCUUUCGCCUGUGACGAAGCGUGAGUGACGGUAAUGGGUAAAGAAGCACCGGCUAACUACGUG
rnacentral:rRNA from 1 species